rfam:Schistosoma haematobium scaffold1872_4, whole genome shotgun sequence.
AUCCAGCUGACGAGUUCCAAACAGGGCGGAACGCGCGUCCUGUAU